CCUACGGGAGGCAGCAGUAGGGAAUUUUCCGCAAUGGGCGAAAGCCUGACGGAGCAAUACCGCGUGAGGGAUGACGGCCUGUGGGUUGUAAACCUCUUUUCUCAAGGAAGAAGUUCUGACGGUACUUGAGGAAUAAGCAUCGGCUAACUCUGUGCCAGCAGCCGCGGUAAUACAGAGGAUGCAAGCGUUAUCCGGAAUCACUGGGCAUAAAGCGUCUGUAGGUUGUUUAGUAAGUCUGCUGUUAAAGACUGGGGCUUAACCCCAGAAAAGCAGUGGAAACUGCUAGACUCGAGUGUGGUAGAGGUAGAGGGAAUUCCUAGUGUAGCGGUGAAAUGCGUAGAUAUUAGGAAGAACACCAAUGGCGAAGGCACUCUACUGGGCCAUAACUGACACUGAGAGACGACAGCUAGGGGAGCAAACGGGAUUAGAUACCCCGGUAGUCCUAGCCGUAAACGAUGGAUACUAGAUGUUGCACGUAUUAACCCGUGCAGUAUCGUAGCUAAGGCGUUAAGUAUCCCGCCUGGGAAGUACGCNCGCAGAGUAGAACUACAAGAAGUAGACGCGUGAGACGNGCCGACGGACGACGACGAGGGAGUAGG
rnacentral:rRNA from 1 species